AUCUAAGCUGGCUCAGAAACUGUUCAGCUUUUAACUGAUGACAGAAGGAAGAAAGCCUUAUAUACAAAUGAAAUAACGGCUAACUACUCAGGCUAAGUCCAGUUAGUGUCUGCAGCUUAAAAUUGUAACUUCAGUGUCCCAGAAAGUAUUGCUCAGUCUGGUCAUGAGAUAAUGCAGAGAAUUAUAACAGUCACCUUAUCAAGGAAAAAAUUUCCAUGACUUAAAAAAUAAUUGUUCUCGGGACCUGCUGGAAAAAGCAUAAGGAUUUAUUUGAAUUGAUAACACUGUUGAGUCUGACAAUAAUACUUUUAUAAUUUAUUCUAAACAAGAAGUUACAUGUGAUUUAGAUAAAAGACAUUUUAAAUGAAAUUAUAUCUGGGUUGCUGUACCAGUAGCUAUACUGUGUUUUGAAUCGAUUUCCUUCUAUAGAGAAAUACACAGCAUGCUAUGUGUUCCUUCU
rnacentral:lncRNA from 1 species